rnacentral:tRNA from 1 species
CCAGUUUUUAAAAGAGAGAUUUUAACUCUCACCCCUGGCUCCCAAAGCCAGAAUUCUGAACUAAACUAUUCUCUG